AUUCGCAGGCAAUAAGUUGUUAAUCAAGAACCACCAGUCAGUGACCUGAAAGAAAGAUGGCGGGCUCUUUUUGACGCAGCUCAAAUUAACCAAGAAUUCAGGAGGAUCACAAAUGUUAGCCUGGAGACAACAUUCCUGGCAAAACUGGACCAAUACUCCCUGAAAAUAAUGUACCUGUUGUCCUCAAGAGGGGGGACUGCAAAAAUGAAUAUUCAGCGCAUACAGAACAUGCUGCUAGAGGACAAUUAUGUGGAGACACGGAGGGAGGCUGCCAUCCGUGGGUUAAUGGUGUAUCUUAAGGAAAAGGAGGAGCAACUCUUCAAAGAGGAGGAUGGAGAUGGGGAUAGUACGGACCAACUGAUGAAGAUUGUCACAACACGAGGUGGCUCUGAUCCAGCCCAUGCAAAGAUUGUCAUAGAGGGAACAGAGGUACUAACAGAUGUGGAUAUUCCCAGAGUCUGUACCUUGCUAAUGGGGCUAAUAUACGCACUCAACCUCAGCUACCCAAAAGG